rnacentral:rRNA from 1 species
CAGUAGCCGCGGGAAUACGUAGGGGGCUAGCGUUGUUCGGAAUAAUUGGGCAUAAAGCGCACGUAGGCGGACUUUUAAGUCAGGGGUGAAAUCCCGGGGCUCAACCCCGGAACUGCCUUUGAUACUGGAAGUCUUGAGUAUGGUAGAGGUGAGUGGAAUUCCGAGUGUAGAGGUGAAAUUCGUAGAUAUUCGGAGGAACACCAGUGGCGAAGGCGACUCUCUGGUCUGUAACUGACGCUGAGGAGCGAAAGCGUGGGGAGCGAACAGGAUUAGAUACCCCUGUAGUCCCUGUCUCUUAUAU